GGGGGGCGCGGGCUAAUAACACAACAGAGUUUGAGAGACCGAUUGGUAGAAAUGCCGAAAAGGCUAAUCGAAAUAGAAAGGAUGGUGAUAAAGAUUUUGGGGAAUAUUUGGCAAAGAAAUUGCACUACACUGAAGAAGCACAUGAACAAGAAAAAGAGGCUUUUCGAAUCAAAGCGGAAAGGGUUUGAGUAGAUGAACAAAGAAUUGGUUUUGAAAAGGAAAGGGUUCAAAUUCAAAUGUUUAAAGAGGAUGAAAGAAUUGGGAUUGAAAAUGAAGGGUUUCGUAUUGAAAUGGAAAAGGAGGACAAAAAAAUAAUGAUGAUGGAUACAAGUGGCAUGACCGAAAUUCAAAGAACUUUUCUUGAAAAACGCCAAAAGGAAAUCAUUGCAAGACUAACUAGUGGUAAAUAGUUGGGUUUGACAUGUAGAUGAUGUCUUGUGCUUGUUUUUUGUACUAGCUUAUUUAGGCCUAGGUUUGGCACAUAUUGAUGAAGUCUUUGUUCCAACCUAAUUUUUUGUACUAGCUUAUUUUAGGCCUAGGUUUUGACACCUGUAAAUGAUGUCUUAUUCCAACUUAAUUUUUGGUACUAGCACUUUUUUUUUUUUUUUUUUUUUUUUUUCUUUUUUUGUAUUUUGUUAUGUACCAAAAAAGGUCUGGACUCUUAUGUGAUUUCUUGGUAUUUUCUAUUAUGCCACUUAUGUAAUCACAACAUUUUUGUGUUAUAUGAAAUGUUUAUGUAUUUUCUA